rnacentral:rRNA from 1 species
GGACCUCCGAUCAAGCAAGAG